rnacentral:rRNA from 1 species
AGUGAACGCUGGCGGCAGGCCUAACACAUGCAAGUCGAACGGCAGCACAGUAAGAGCUUGCGCUUACGGGUGGCGAGUGGCGGAAGGGUGAGGAAUAUACCGGAAUCUACUUUUUCGUGGGGGAUAACGUAGGGAAACUUACGCUAAUACCGCAUACGACCUACGGGGGAAAGUAGGGGAUCGUCGGACCUUGCGCGAUUGAAUGAGCCGAUGUCGGAUUAGCUAGUUGGCGGGGUAAAGGCCAACCAAGGCGACGAUCCGUAGCUGGUCUGAGAGGAUGAUCAGCCACACUGGAACUGAGACACGGUCCAGACUCCUACGGGAGGCAGCAGUGGGGAAUAUUGGACAAUGGGCGCAAGCCUGAUCCAGCAAUACCGCGUGGGUGAAGAGGGCCUUCGGGUUGUAAAGCCCUUUUGUUGGGAAAGAAAAGCAGCAGGUUAAUACCCGGCGGUACUGACGGUACCCAGAGAAUAAGCACCGGCUAACUUCGUG